GCCUUGUUGGCUAAGUGGUAUAGCGUCUCACUAGUAUAGUGGCAUGAGAAGAUCGGCGGUUCGAUUCCGCCACGAGGCA
rnacentral:tRNA from 1 species